rnacentral:lncRNA from 1 species
CGGGUCCUUUUAGAAGGUUUUAACGAGGCCACUAUAUCAUGUCACUCUUUGUACGUCUGUGGUUUUAUGAAUGAAUUCUCUUUCUAAAAAAAAACCUAAUUGGUUUAUUUAAUAAUUUCUUUAAAAAAUUUACUUAUUAAGUAUACGUAAUUAAUUAUCUAUUAUAUUAUUGUUUUAUAAAUAUAAUAGCAUACAUACAUAACUCACCCAUAAAAAAAAAAAAAAAAAUCUCAAAUGGGGCCGUAGUGAAAUGUGGAUAAUGCAGGAUUUCUACAUUUAGAAGCUCGUGAUCCGUAAGUCACCCGCAAUGUUCAACUGAUUCAAACUUAAGAGUCCAUUCUUCCCUUUUGCUUUUAUGUCUAGAGCAAUCC